GUGUCAGCAGCCGCGGUAAUACGGAGGAUGCAAGCGUUAUCCGGAAUUAUUGGGCGUAAAGCGUCCGCAGGUGGUUAAUCAAGUCUAUUGUCAAAGUGCGAGGCUAAACUUCGUAAAGGCGGUGGAAACUGGUUGACUAGAGUUUGGUAGGGGUAGAGGGAAUUCCCAGUGUAGCGGUGAAAUGCGUAGAUAUUGGGAAGAACACCGGUGGCGAAAGCGCUCUACUGGGCCUGAACUGACACUGAGGGACGAGAGCUAGGGGAGCGAAAGGGAUUAGAAACCCCCGUAGUCC
rnacentral:rRNA from 1 species